UGACCUCAAAUCAGGUAGGACUACCCGCUGAACUUAAGCAUAUCAAUAAGCGGAGGAAAAGAAACUAACAAGGAUUCCCCUAGUAACUGCGAGUGAAGCGGGAAAAGCUCAAAUUUGAAAUCUGGCGGUCCUUACGGCUGUCCGAGUUGUAAUUUAGAGAAGUGUUACCCGUGCUGGACCCGAUACAAGUCCUCUGGGAAUGGGG
rnacentral:rRNA from 1 species